AUUGAACGCUGGCGGCAUGCCUAACACAUGCAAGUCGAACGGCAGCACGGCAGUAGCAAUACUGUGGGUGGCGAGUGGCGGACGGGUGAGGAAUACGUCGGAAUCUGCCCAGUCGUGGGGGAUAACUAGCCGAAGGUUAGCUAAUACCGCAUACGACCGAGAGGUGAAAGCGGGGGACCGGCAAGGCCUCGCGCGAUUGGAUGAGCCGACGUCGGAUUAGCUAGUUGGUGGGGUAAAGGGCCCACCAAGGCGACGAUCCGUAGCUGGUCUGAGAGGAUGAUCAGCCACACUGGAACUGAGACACGGUCCAGACUCCUACGGGAGGCAGCAGUGGGGAAUAUUGGACAAUGGGCGCAAGCCUGAUCCAGCAAUGCCGCGUGUGUGAAGAAGGCCUCGGUUG
rnacentral:rRNA from 1 species